CCUCAAGCUGGAUGUGUCUCUGUGGAGCCCCUGAUAUUGAAUAAAGACGUGUCACACAGAAAAUAGCUGUGCUUUAAUAUGCAGCAGCAGUACAAACGUCUCUUCUCCCUGAAGGCAUUAGAUUUGAGCGUGCCACAUCCCCUUGUUCAAUGGCCUGGUCUACAUGGAAACAGUCCAACGGGGAUGAGAGGAGGCUUGUCACUGGAUUGUAGGGAAGGUGAUCCAGAGUCAGGCUUUGUAUUUUGUGUCUCUAGUCGAACAUCGUCUGCUGUUUUCAUGCAAGUGUUAUCAGCAACGCAAACGUGUGAAGUUUUGUCCAAAUAUUUUAAUCCCAGUCUCCGAGUUAACUGCAAGAAAAUUAAAAUAUCCGGUUUGAGGCACGCAGGCGGACCCAAAAGCUGAGCGCCUUCUGAGGUAGACUGUUGUGGUUUAAAUAACAGACAGGGGGAGAACUUAAAUACCCAAGGACCAGAGCGAGAUAACGAGGGAGAGGUGACAUCAGGGCGGAAGCAACAGGUGAAAGAAUCAAGCGGGAAUCAAACAGGUGAAAGAAUCAAGCGGGAAUCAAACCAAGGCAACAUGCAGCGAUACAAGAGGAGAGACUUUAGCGAAUAAAAACUACAUGGAUGUUCAAUAUGACACCUCUCUCGCUAAAAAUCUCUACCGGUUCACGUUUUCAACCCACAGCAGUGCUUUCUUUGUUUCCACCAGCCAGUUAAUUGCAUUGUCUUUGUGUCCCAGGCCCAAAGCAGUCCUUCGUUAGCUGGGCAAAAUGAAAGACCAGUGUGAUACAAACAGUAACUGACUCUCCCUCGCUGACGUCUCUUUUUCUCCCAACCUUUAAUCCUGUGACCAGCGGCACUAUGGCUCCCGCUCCGCCACGUGCACAGUUUUCCCGGUGAGGAUGAAAGUGCCUGCAGGGGGCCAUGCAAAUCCCCUAUUGAACCCCACCGGAGAUCCCCAUAGAGAUGCUGGGCAUGAGCCUGCCCCGGGGUUUUUCUCCCAGCGACGGUGCAACACCUCUUGGGCCCAGAGAAAGGGACGGCCGAGCGGCGGGGUGUGUUGGCGCUGCGUGUUAAAGCGAGCCGCUGUGAUCGUGAGUGGCAGGAGGGAGACAACGGAGAAGGAACGGGACGGCGGGGCCCUGUGACAAGAGCUGUAAUGGAUGUUUCGUUCGCCGCUGAGCUCACCUGCUUUCAGACGCCCACAAAGGAUGACGG
ensembl:lncRNA